UCUGGCGGCAGUAGCGCGGUGGUCCCACCUGACCCCAUGCCGAACUCAGAAGUGAAACGCCGUAGCGCCGAUGGUAGUGCGGGGUCUCCCCAUGCGAGAGUAGGGAACUGCCAGAC
rnacentral:rRNA from 2 species